rnacentral:rRNA from 2 species
UGGGGGAUAUUGCGCAAUGGGGGGAACCCUGACGCAGCAACGCCGCGUGAAGGAAGAAGGUCUUCGGAUUGUAAACUUUUGUCUUCGGGGACGAAUAAAUGACGGUACCCGAGGAGGAAGCUCCGGCUAACUACGUGCCAGCAGCCGCGGUAAUACGUAGGGAGCGAGCGUUGUCCGGAAUUACUGGGUGUAAAGGGCGUGUAGGCGGGUUGGCAAAUCAGAUGUGAAAUUCCCAGGCUUAACUUGGGCGCUGCAUUUGAAACUGCCGGUCUUGAGUGGUGGAGAGGAAAGCGGAAUUCCUAGUGUAGCGGUGAAAUGCGUAGAUAUUAGGAGGAACACCAGUGGCGAAGGCGGCUUUCUGGACACUAACUGACGCUGAGGCGCGAAAGCGUGGGGAGCAAACAGG